UACGGAGGGAGCUAGCGUUGUUCGGAAUUACUGGGCGUAAAGCGCACGUAGGCGGCGACUCAAGUCAGAGGUGAAAGCCCGGGGCUCAACCCCGGAACUGCCUUUGAAACUAGGUCGCUAGAAUCUUGGAGAGGUCAGUGGAAUUCCGAGUGUAGAGGUGAAAUUCGUAGAUAUUCGGAAGAACACCAGUGGCGAAGGCGACUGACUGGACAAGUAUUGACGCUGAGGUGCGAAAGCGUGGGGAGCAAACAGGAUUAGAAACCCUAGUAGUCC
rnacentral:rRNA from 1 species